ensembl:lncRNA
GGAGCAGGGGGCGGGGCUCAUCUUGAGACCCCCACAUUCUCUUUGGCCACUUUACCUUGUGAUCAAGGUGAGUGAUAGCAAGUGGCCAGCUGGACACCAGGAAGCAGAGGAGAGCUAACCUUCAGGGACUAUGUCUGCUUAAGUUCCAGGGAUGUUUUGACCAAGAGACAGAACGAUUGGAAAAACAUCCAAACACAAGGCACCCUCCAUGUACGGAGAUGGGCUGCUGCCAGCGCUGUGAUCCCAGAAAAAGGCGAUAAGGAAUCCCGACUGUCCAGACUCAGGGACACUUUUGGCCAGGGCCGUCCGUAUAAAUCACAUGGGAAGGAUAACAACACAACCCCUCAUUGCGCAACUUCAUUUCCUGUAAGAACGGAAAGGGAACAAUAACCACUCGCACGGGCUGGCGGAGACGGAGAACAAGAUACAGAGCCAUCGUUCAACUUCACCCAUCUCACCGCAACCUCAUAAAAAUUAAGGAAUAAUUUUUCAAAGAGAUAAGGGCUGCAGGGACAUGAAAAGCAAAACAACCAAACUGUUUCUGCCCUGAGGAGGUACACACAGGACGGGAAGGGAUUUCUUUUCCCAUUUUUAAUUUACAAGAACCUUGUAAACCACAAAUUAAAGCAGC